GACGAACGCUGGCGGCGUGCCUAAUACAUGCAAGUAGGACGCAGUUGCGAACGGGUGAGUAACGCGUAGGUAACUACCUAUUAGAGGGGGAUAAAUAUUGGAAACGAUAGCUAAUACCGCAUACUAGUAGAUGGACCUGCGUUGUAUUAGCUAGUAGGUUGGGUAAUGGCCUACCUAGGCAACGAGACCUAGCCAACCUGGUGGGGUGAUCGGCCCAACUGGGAAUGGGAAACGGCCCCGACUCCUACGGGAGGCAGCCGUAGGGAAUCUUUGGCAAUGGGGGGAAACCUGACCGAGCAACGCCGCGUUGGUGAAGAAGGUUUUUGGGUCGUAAAGCUCUUUUGUUAAGGAAGCGGUACUUAACCAGAAAGGGCCGGCUAACUACGUGCCAGCAGCCGCGGUAAUAC
rnacentral:rRNA from 1 species